rnacentral:rRNA from 1 species
UACGUAGGCAGCAAGCGUUGUUCGGAGUUACUGGGCGUAAAGCGUGCGUAGGUGGUUCGUUAAGUCCGUUGUGAAAGCCCCGAGCUCAACUUGGGAAUUGCAGUGGAUACUGGCGAGCUAGAGUGCGGUAGAGGAAGGUGGAAUUCCCGGUGUAGCGGUGAAAUGCGUAGAGAUCGGGAGGAACACCAGUGGCGAAGGCGGCCUUCUGGACCAGCACUGACACUCAAGCACGAAAGCGUGGGGAGCAAACAGG